rnacentral:lncRNA from 1 species
GCAAAGAUAUUUCUUCUCUUCAGCUGAGCAGGCUGCUGAAACCUGUUCUAACGGGGCUUGGAUAGGUCUCAAAUUUGUUUUCAUCCACGUCGCUGACUUUGCCAGCAUGCAGAAUACAAGGAUGACAUUCUUCUGAAGAUUUGCAUAGAGGUUCAGGGGCUGGCGGGAGCCUAUGAGACCUGGCAGUGUGUGACAAGGCCAGACUCCCUGCCAGAAUGCCCAGAGAGGCCAGCAUGCAUACCUAAACUGCAGUGGAGACACGAAGACACCAGGAAUACGAGGCAUCUGCCGUACAGGUGAGAAGUCUGCAUGAGGGAGACCUCAUGUGUGCUAAAGACGACAAAACCUAGAAGCCUGCUGCAGCCAAGGUAAUGUCCUGGGUUCCAGACAUGGGGCUACAGGCUGGUUUUGUCUGGUUGGAUUUGGGGAUUGCUUUGGUUGGACCUUUCAUUGAUAUGACCCAAUCUAUCUCCCAUGAAAUGGGCGUGUGCACUGUGCCCUUUUUUAAAAAAUAAAAUUGGAUAUUUAAUUUAUUUACAUUCUAAAUGUUAUCCCCUUUCCCCUCUGAAAACCCCCUAUCCCAUCUGCUGCAGUUAAUCUCCAACCCAAAUAAGCCUGGGCAAAGACAAUACAACUCAGUUGAUAUGUAUACAAGCUGCCCGCCUAGUCAUGCGGAGGCAUUGGACACCUGCAGCUGGAGUUACAGGCAAUUGUGAGCUGCCCAACAUGUAUGCUGAGAACUAAGUUCAUGUCCUUUGCAAAAGCAGUAAGUACUUGUAACAACAGAGCCAUCUCUCCAGCCCUGCAAGGGGCUUAUAGUGGAGUGAAAUAGCUGUGCAUCCAGAUCAAGACCUCACCAAUAUUAUCAGGUAAUAUAAAGAAAUGCCAGAUGCAAUAAUCUAGAACAUAAAACAUUAGGUUUAAACAUGGACUAAUAUUAAAUAGAGGUUCAAAUUUUAUAUAGAUAGCCAAAGGGUAGAUCACCUGACAAAAUAACUUCUUAAGUAGAGGCAGUGUAUAUUUUAAAUAUAGUGUGUUGGUCUUCUAUGUGAUUAUAAUCCUGUUUAAUCCUGUCAAAUUGAUAAUCAGCGCCAACCAUUAGACAUAGUAUGUACACAUGUGUGAGCCAAAGGACUUGAUUCUCCUCAGGGAUCAUAACAUUGCUACAUUGUAUUCAUUUUUCUACUCUAACAUUGCCACAUUGUAUUCAUCUUUCUAAUGCAGGACUCUACAACUAUCAGGAAACCAUAAAUAGAUAGCCUAACUUUAAAGCCAAUAAUUAUAGUAGAAAUGUUGAUGCUGUCACACAGUAAUGAAGACAUUUGUGUAGAAUAAGCUGAUGUGAUGCUCUUUGGGGACCAACCUGAACACCCAAACAUGACAGCCCUAUGGAUUUGUAUUGGAAACCUAACUGAAAGCUGGAAAUAAUGGACUUGUAUCUUACACAGUGAAUCCUUGACUCUGAACAAAGCAAACCGAAACUCAGAAACAGUGUUGAUAUCGCCCAUAGGCCUGGCUGCACCUCUAUUGCCGGAAACUAGAGUCAACCUUCUAAUUGCUGAUAAAAGGACCUGAAAAGACAGAGUGCACACACA